AGAGUAGUAGUUUAAAAAAAACAUUUAUUUUGCAUAUAAAAAUUAUUAAUUGUCUACUUUG
rnacentral:tRNA from 1 species